GACGAACGCUGGCGGCGUGCUUAACACAUGCAAGUCGAACGAAGAGCGAUGGAAGCUUGCUUCUAUCAAUCUUAGUGGCGAACGGGUGAGUAACGCGUAAUCAACCUGCCCUUCAGAGGGGGACAACAGUUGGAAACGACUGCUAAUACCGCAUACGAUCUAAUCUCGGCAUCGAGGAUAGAUGAAAGGUGGCCUCUACAUGUAAGCUAUCACUGAAGGAGGGGAUUGCGUCUGAUUAGCUAGUUGGAGGGGUAACGGCCCACCAAGGCGAUGAUCAGUAGCCGGUCUGAGAGGAUGAACGGCCACAUUGGGACUGAGACACGGCCCAGACUCCUACGGGAGGCAGCAGUGGGGAAUCUUCCGCAAUGGACGAAAGUCUGACGGAGCAACGCCGCGUGAGUGAUGACGGCCUUCGGGUUGUAAAGCUCUGUUAAUAGGGACGAAAGGCCUUCUUGCGAAUAGUGAGAAGGAUUGACGGUACCGGAAUAGAAAGCCACGGCUAACUACGUG
rnacentral:rRNA from 1 species